rnacentral:lncRNA from 1 species
GAUAUUCAAUCUUUCAACUAAUGCUACUUCACUUCCUGCAUAUGUUCCAUUGAAAGACCUGCAAAAGAAGCAAAAAUAUGCGUAUUUGUCAUACAAACUGCAACUAAUUCACUUAGAGAUCUUGCUCAUCAAAAGGAGUGAAUCUGUGUCCUGCGGUCACGUUCUUCCAAGGCACCUUGCCUCCUCAAAACCUUCCAUGUUUUCUGCAAUGAUAAAAUAAAAUGUUCACAAGAUCAACAAUCACAAGCCAUAACCCAUAGAUUCAGAAACUCUUCGAAUUGGAAGCUAUCUGUAGCUGGUUCACAUUCCCUUAGCAGGAUCUUCUCCAAUCAAGCUAGCUUCACUUGUUCCAUUAUUACUGUCAUGCCGCCUGGAACUUUUCUGGUGACCCUUAUGACCUCUCACUUCAUCCUUUAUGGUUUCAUCUUCACCUGAUCCAUGCCUACUUUCAGCAGAUUUUGAUCUAGAGCGUCCCCUGUGUCUUGAUCGUCGGUCAUCGGAACGCCUUGUAGACUGUUUACUGCUGUGCUGCUUAUCAUCGACAGAUCUUGACCUGGACCGCUUUUUACUACGACUCUUUGACUUCUCUUUUCUGCUCCUUUCCAAUUUAUCACUUGAACGAUGUUUUUCUUCAGGAGAUCUGGACCUUGACUUUGAAUGCCUUCUACUUCGAUGCUUUGGCUUAUCUCCUUUACCUCUAUCUAAUUUAUUACUUGAGUGAUAUUUCUCUUCAGGAGAUUUGGACCUUGACUUGGAGCGCCUUCUAACAUGGUGCUUUCUUUUCUCUUCUCUGCUUCUGCCAGAACGAUGCUUCUCUUCUGGAGACCUGGACCUGGAGGUUCUUCCAUGCUUUGACUUGCUUUCUUCCAGCACUUCUGGUGACAUUUUCUUCUGUGCAUCCUCAACAAUCUGUGGUGAUGCUGACCUUCCCUGAUCUUUCUCUUCAGGAGAUUUGGACCUUGACUUGGAGCGCCUUCUAGCAUGAUGCUUUCUUUUCUCUUCUCUGCUUCUGCUAGAAUGAUGCUUCUCUUCUGGAGACCUGGACCUGGAGGUUCUUCCAUGCUUUGACUUGCUUUCUUCUGGGACUUCCGGUGACAUUUUCUUCUGUGCAUCCUCAACAACCUGUGGUGAUGGUGACCUUCCCUGGUCCUUCUGCUUGGCUUUUUCAUCCCUGCUUCCUUCAAGCUU